rnacentral:lncRNA from 1 species
AAUCAACACUCCACUCAGACAAUGCCCAGACCUCCAGAAACCAUGUGUCAAGCUCGGAUUGCCUUAGACAGCUCACCCAGCUGGAACUCUUAUGGGACCUUGGCACCAGAGACCACAAAUUCCUCUUUGAAGUUUUCUAACAGCAACAAUGGUAUUUCUGACUUGGCUUUCUUGUAUUUCUCUCACGUUAACAAAAUUGGUUCAGCAUCUACCAUGGGCUACAUGCUGAGCUACAGAGUUUCGCUCUGUCGCCCAGGCUGGAGUGCAGUGGCGCGCGAUCUCGGUUCACUGCAAGCUCCACCUCCCGGGUUCACGCCAUUCUCCUGCCUCAGCCUCCUGAGUAGCUGGGACUACAGGCGCCCGCCACCACACCCAGGAAUCCAACUUGCUGUUUGCUAUCACAUGUGCUAUACAUGCUGUUGAUGAAACUGCUAAAGGGGCUGAAUGUGACUGACGUCUUUGGAAGGAUGAGACUUAGCGUGCCUGUACAGUUGUGUCCAAAUGCUGUCCUCAUCUCCCAAUGAAAAGGUAUUGUAAAUAAAGAGAAAGAUCAGAGGCUUAUUUUAAACACUAAAUAUGAGCUAGGAGCUGUCCUAGACACUAUGUAAAAGUUUUAUUUAGUUCUCACUGUAAUGUUGGCCUUAUGUUAGCAUCCCAUUUUUCAGACUGAGGAAAUUAUGGCUCAGAGAGGUUAAGAGACUUAUUGAAGGUCACACAGCUCCACAAACUUUGGUGUAGAUUGAACGUGUACAUGGGUCUAUGUGACUUUGAAUCUUGCAUUCUUUACAUUAUUGGAAUAUUUCACAGAAGGAAAAUGACAUAUUAACAUGGCAAUAAGAUUUCUGGUUCCAGUCUGGUUACUGGUCUUCCAAGAGUGUUAUAGGAUGUAUAGCCUGAGCUCUGAAGCUUUGUUCUGAAGCAUGCUAUCAAUAUGAACAAAUUGGUAUGGAAGGAAGCCACAAAUUAUAUACUAAAAUCUAGUUCAUCAGAGGAAAAUAUAGUUAAAUACAUUUACAUUCCCAGAACUGUUAAUAUUGAAGAAUAAAACACACAGUGGGAAAGA